GGGGAUGUAGCUCAGUGGUAGAGCGCAAGCUUUGCAUGUGUGAGGCCCCGGGUUCAAUCCCCGGCAUCUCCA
rnacentral:tRNA from 1 species